rnacentral:rRNA from 1 species
GACGAACGCUGGCGGCGUGCCUAAUACAUGCAAGUCGAGCGGACGAAUCGAAAGCUUGCUCUUGAUUCGUUAGCGGCGGACGGGUGAGUAACACGUGGGCAACCUGCCCUGUAGACGGGGAUAACACCGAGAAAUCGGUGCUAAUACCGGAUAACACGAAAUGUCGCAUGACGUUUCGUUGAAAGACGGCGCAAGCUGUCGCUACAGGAUGGGCCCGCGGCGCAUGGGCUAGUUGGUGAGGGAACGGCUCACCAAGGCGACGAUGCGUAGCCGACCGGGGGGGUUGUUCGCCCCCCUGGGACUUAGGCCCCGGCCCAACCUCCUCCGGAGGGCGCCGGUGGGAAUUCUUCCGCAAUGGCCGAAGGUCUGCCGGGGCAACGCCGCUUGGUCGAAGAGGGCCUUCGGUUCGUAAACCUCUUUUUUUGGGGAAGAACAAGUCACGCUGUAACUGGCGCUACCGUGCCGUUACCUAACGAGAAGGCCCCGGCUACCUCCUU